UACGAAGGGGACUAGCGUUGUUCGGAAUUACUGGGCGUAAAGGGCGCGUAGGCGGCCUUCUAAGUCAGACGUGAAAUCCCCCGGCUUAACCUGGGAACUGCGUCUGAUACUGGGAGGCUUGAGUAUGGGAGAGGGAUGUAGAAUUCCAGGUGUAGCGGUGAAAUGCGUAGAUAUCUGGAGGAAUACCGGUGGCGAAGGCGGCAUCCUGGACCAUUACUGACGCUGAGGCGCGAAAGCUAGGGGAGCAAACGGG
rnacentral:rRNA from 1 species